rnacentral:lncRNA from 1 species
UUUAAGCCAGCUUAUUGGAUUUAUGCUUUUUCUUAGGUGUUUAAAAAUCAAUUCUAGUUCUUAAUAAGAAUUACUUAAGUUAUGGAGUUGUAUUUACUAAGAUAUCUAAAAUUAAAAUAACAUCAUCAGGAUGCUGAUCAAAAGUUGUAAAUUUUAAGAUCAGUGAAAACUGUGAACUACAAGGUUUUAUAUUUUCUUCUAGUCUGGCAGGAGGUUUGGUUAUUAUUUUAUUACAAUUCAUUUCUAGUCUCAGAACUGUUGUGUUAACUGAAUAGUCACAGGACUAGGAAGAAGGGAAGAUACUUUUUUCCCUCCUCUUUCUCUAGCCUAAUAUUCUGGCUAAUUUUUAAGUGAUUUUUAUAUUAAUCACAUGCCUACUGCUGUGAUUUUACUUUUCACUCAACUAUAUUGCCUCUAGCCCUACUUCAGAGCGAUCACUCUAUCCCCUUAUCCUUACCAUUUAAUAAUCUCUCCCCAAUAUUUGGUCCUAAUCUGUGGCAGUGCAAGAACCUUGGCAGUGCAAGAACCAUGGCACUCAGAGGUACCAGGGUAGUUGGCAGUAGCAGCCACUGAUUUAAAAUAAAAAGCAAUGGAGAAGCGGACCACAAACCAGCACCAAGUCAACCAACAGGCAUAACCAAACUCCUCUUGACUGCUGUCCAAUGCUCACUGUCCCCUGAACCCCAUCUUGUCCUAAAACAUACACUCUGAAAAAGGCAUGUAAAGAGUCAGCUCUGGGAGUUCCAACAGUAGUGAAAAGAAGUAGUAGCAUAACAUCAUCAUUAAGGGAGAUCUCACAACUGCUAGAUAUUUAUGCUUAAAACAGUAUCUUGUAGCAUUAUACACGUUCAUAUAUAUAUGAUCAUUUCCCAUGCUCAACAAUUUUCUAAGGCAGGUAAAUCAGCGGAAGAAAAGUAGAGAAACUGAGAUACGCAGUGAUUUCUCCAAGUAUACAUGACUAGGUGCAUAUGGCACUGAUGUUUUCAGAGUAUAGUGGUUUAGAGUGUACUGGGGGUCCAGACUUUGAAGGUUGGAAUCUUGAUUUCACCAUUUCUGAGCUAUGUGAUCUUGAGUAAGUGAUUUAAUCUCCUUAUACUGUACAUGGGGAUUUUCACUGGGUUGUGUCAGGACUAAAUAUAUUAAUAUAUGUAAAGCACUCUGGGACAGUGGUCAAGCUAAGUGUGUGCUUCUAUUCACUUCCCAGGAAAUAGCAUUUUCUAAUCUCUUGAUUUAAGUAAAAAGAAAAGUCAACAUUUUUGCUUCUGGAUUACACUGCUUGUCCAAUCUUUAGAUAAAUAGCCAGGUAAGAUUCUAAAAGAAGCAACUAGCCUGGGAGAAGCAACUGUCCUAGGAAGGCACUAAAUAUAGAAGGUAAAAAGGUAAUCACUCACCAGUAACAAGCUCAGAUGGCAAAAAUCCACCUG